rnacentral:rRNA from 1 species
UACGUAGGGCGCAAGCGUUGUCCGGAAUUAUUGGGCGUAAAGAGCUCGUAGGCGGUCUGUCGCGUCUGUUGUGAAAAACUCGAGGCUCAACCUCGGGCUUGCAGUGGAUACGGGCAGACUAGAGUGCGGUAGGGGAGACUGGAAUUCCUGGUGUAGCGGUGGAAUGCGCAGAUAUCAGGAGGAACACCGAUGGCGAAGGCAGGUCUCUGGGCAUUAACUGACGCUGAGGAGCGAAAGCAUGGGGAGCGAACAGG